rnacentral:rRNA from 1 species
AGGCCUAACACAUGCAAGUCGAGCGGUAGCGGGAAGAGCUUGCUCUUUGCCGACGAGCGGCGGACGGGUGCGUAACACGUAGGAAUCUGCCUGGUAGUGGGGGAUAGCCCGGAGAAAUCCGGAUUAAUACCGCAUACGCCCUAUGGGGGAAAGCAGGGGAUCUUCGGACCUUGCGCUAUCAGAUGAGCCUGCGUCGGAUUAGCUUGUUGGUGGGGUAAAGGCCUACCAAGGCGACGAUCCGUAGCUGGUCUGAGAGGAUGAUCAGCCACACUGGGACUGAGACACGGCCCAGACUCCUACGGGAGGCAGCAGUGGGGAAUAUUGCACAAUGGGCGAAAGCCUGAUGCAGCCAUGCCGCGUGUGUGAAGAAGGCCCUAGGGUUGUAAAGCACUUUCAGUGGGGAGGAAAGGGAGACUGCUAAUACCAGUUUCCUGUGACGUUACCCACAGAAGAAGCACCGGCUAACUCCGUGCCAGCAGCCGCGGUAAUACGGAGGGUGCGAGCGUUAAUCGGAAUUACUGGGCGUAAAGCGUGCGUAGGCGGCCUUUUAAGUUGGAUGUGAAAGCCCCGGGCUUAACCUGGGAACUGCAUCCAAAACUGGAAGGCUUGAGUGCGAGAGAGGAGUGUGGAAUUUCCUGUGUAGCGGUGAAAUGCGUAGAUAUAGGAAGGAACACCAGUGGCGAAGGCGACACUCUGGCUUGACACUGACGCUGAGGUACGAAAGCGUGGGGAGCAAACAGGAUUAGAUACCCUGGUAGUCCACGCCGUAAACGAUGUCUACUAGUUGUCGGUGGUCUUGUACUGCUGGUAACGCAGCUAACGCGAUAAGUAGACCGCCUGGGGAGUACGGCC